rnacentral:rRNA from 1 species
CCUACGGGAGGCAGCAGUGAGGAAUAUUGGUCAAUGGACGAGAGUCUGAACCAGCCAAGUAGCGUGAAGGAUGACUGCCCUAUGGGUUGUAAACUUCUUUUAUAUGGGAAUAAAACGUUCCACGUGUGGGAUUUUGUAUGUACCAUAUGAAUAAGGAUCGGCUAACUCCGUGCCAGCAGCCGCGGUAAUACGGAGGAUCCGAGCGUUAUCCGGAUUUAUUGGGUUUAAAGGGAGCGUAGGUGGAUUGUUAAGUCAGUUGUGAAAGUUUGCGGCUCAACCGUAAAAUUGCAGUUGAAACUGGCAGUCUUGAGUACAGUAGAGGUAGGCGGAAUGCGUGGUGUAGCGGUGAAAUGCUUAGAUAUCACGAAGAACUCCGAUUGCGAAGGCAGUUCACUGGACUGCAACUGACACUGAGGCACGAAAGUGUGGGUAUCAAACAGGAUUAGAUACCCGAGUAGUC